rnacentral:rRNA from 1 species
GUGCCAGCAGCCGCGGUAAUACGGAGGGUGCAAGCGUUAUUCGGAAUCACUGGGCGUAAAGGACGCGUAGGCGGGAUGCCAAGUCUGAUGUGAAAUCCUAUGGCUUAACCAUAGAACUGCAUUGGAAACUGGUAACCUAGAGUAUGGGGGGGGGAGAUGGAAUUAGUGGUGUAGGGGUCAAAUCCGUGCAUAUCAUCUAGGAAUACAC